ACGCACACACACACACACACAUGCCCGCAUGCAAUUCAAGAUGUGCUCCUCCCCUUCCAUUUCUGCGCGCCUACCGCGUGUAGUUCCAGUCCACUCUGCCAUGUCAUUUGACUGCUCAUCUCUCGCCCUCUACCCACCCACCCUCACCCUCACCCUCCUCUGAGUGCCAUAUAUAUAUAUAUAUAUGCGUGUGUAAUUGUAGGUGUGUGCUCCGGUGUGUUUUCUGUUUUUCUUUUUUUUCUUCCGUGCUUCGUUUCGUUUUUUUUUUGCGUCUUCUUUGUGUGUCUGUCCGUGUGUGUGUGCCGUCCUUUUCGUUUUUUCCCCUCUCCAUAAAACGUCUUGUUGUCACUCUAUUUUGCUUCAGUCUGCAUAAUACCCACGCAAGCUUACACAUGCACUUACACACACACACCAGCAGAGGCACGCGCUCACUCUCUCUCUGCCUCUCCCUCAUCCCCACGCGCACUUAUUAUUUGCCCUUUCCUGUUUUUUUUUCUUUCUGUUUCCUUUGAUGAGUCGUGUCCUUGUUUUGUGGCGACGCUUCACCGUGUGUCGGGAGAGAGUUGAGAGGAUAAGAGGCGAGAGCGUCCCCGUGCUGUGCGAUUGGGAACAGCGGCAAGAUGGAAAAAAAAGAGAGGCAAACGACUGAGAAGCCGUGAGGAUGGAUCUUACCCUCUUCACGCCCGCGAUUCUCGUUCUCUCUUGCUCCCGGGCUGAUCUUUUUUUUUUGUUUUCGAAGGCACACGACCCAACCUGAUCAACCUAUGCGUGCCGCGUGCUUCACAUAGACGCGCACUCGUCCUCCUAAUCCUCUCCUGCUUCUUCUCUUACGGUGUUUGCCUGACUGUUUGUGAAUAUGCGUGCGUGUUUGUGUGUGUCGCUACACUUUCUUCAAUCGCCUCGGUCCGAAGAGGUCACUUCCACCGCCAUCCCUAUCCUCGUUUUGCCACUUGAGUACUGGAAGCUGUUGACACCUCGCCCAUGUCUGAAUUCGGCCGGUCCUUUUUAUUCAUGUUGCGAUGCGUCUCCCUAUUCGAUUCCGCCCUCGCACACUGUCUUCUGUUCUUCUCUAUCGGUUAAUCUGCCUGAUGGCGAGGGCACGCCUCUCGGCGUGGAAUCUCAGGGUUCCGCGCCUUCACUCUGUGCAGGAAAGCCAAGCAGCUCUCUCCUAUCCCCUGCCAAAUGCAGAACCACCUCUGGUGGUGACAAGAUUAAGUUCCUGCAGCGUAGGGAAGUCAGUGAUAUGUAUCGCUGCUGAUGUUGGUGAUCAGGUCGUGGAUGGCGUUGCGUCGGUGCGGCCUGCGACUUUGUACAGGUUUGCACCACCCGUGAUGGGCAGAGUGUCAGAAUGACUCGAACGCCUCCCACCAGGCCGUCACACUGCCUGCCGACAAGAAGCCUGAGAGCCACCCCGAGGGGGGACGCUUCAGGUGGCGACCGGCACCAUGGGAGCGGCUGUGAGGCAACCUGCGCAGCGGGUGGGCGGCUAGAGCUUGAGGCUGAGGCCGCGCUCAGGUGCCUGAGUCUGCGCAUUGCUGUAACGCACGUGCCUACGGCAUACUUCACACUACGCGAUGGGGCCUGUGGCAGGGCGGGUGGGGAAGAGUGAAGUUGAGUUUAUGCCGCUUUGCAGAGAAUGAGUUUGCUGGAAAGCGUCGUCGGCCAAUGUCCUUGUUUGGUUUCGUUGUACCCCCACCCCCCCACCCCCCCCCAAAAAAAAAUUAUUAUUACGGUAAACUUGCUUCCCUCACCCUCUCUAUAUCAAACUUCGCCCUCCCGCGCCUCUAACCAUGAACCUAUAUCUCUUACCCCGCUCACGCCUCCUCGUUGUUUCCACUUGCAAGCUGCGCGUGCCUGUGUUUCUGUGUCUGCGUGUACACCCACCGACUAGCAGCACACAGUACAAAGGCUCUCCUACUGUGCACUUCUUUCUGUGGACGCCAGUUGAUCACCGAGAAGGAAAGCAAACAUCAACCACAGAAGCUAAACUGAGGCCCCCCUCCAUCCUUCUCCUCACCUCUUCUUGUCUGCCGGCACGCACGCACCGACACACUCCCUCUG
rnacentral:misc_RNA from 1 species